CCUACGGGUGGCAGCAGUAGGGAAUCUUUCACAAUGGGCGAAAGCCUGAUGGAGCAACGCCGCGUGCAGGAUGAAGGCCUUCGGGUUGUAAACUGCUUUUAUAAGCGAGAAAUAUGAUGGUAACUUAUGAAUAAGGAUCGGCUAACUACGUGCCAGCAUCCGCGGUCAUACGUAGGAUCCGAGCAUUAUCCGGAGUGACUGGGUGUAAAGAGGUGCGUAGGUGGCAUAAUAAGUAGCUAGUGAAAUCUGGUGGCUCAACCAUUCAGACUAUUAGCGAAACUGUUAAGCUCGAGACCGUUAGGGGCAUCUGGAAUUUCUAGUGUAGGAGUGAAAUGCGUAGAUAUUAGAAGGAACACCAGUAGCGUAGGCAGGCUGCUGGGACGGUUCUGACACUAAGGCACGAAAGCGUAGGGAGCAAACGGGAUUAGAUACCCCAGUAGUC
rnacentral:rRNA from 1 species